GAUGAACGCUGGCGGCGUGCCUAAUACAUGCAAGUCGAGCGAACAGAUAAGGAGCUUGCUCCUUUGACGUUAGCGGCGGACGGGUGAGUAACACGUGGGUAACCUACCUAUAAAACUGGAAUAACUCCGGGAAACCGGGGCUAAUGCCGGAUAACAUUUAGAACCGCAUGGUUCUAAAGUGAAAGAUGGUUUUGCUAUCACUUAUAGAUGGACCCGCGCCGUAUUAGCUAGUUGGUAAGGUAACGGCUUACCAAGGCAACGAUACGUAGCCGACCUGAGAGGGUGAUCGGCCACACUGGAACUGAGACACGGUCCAGACUCCUACGGGAGGCAGCAGUAGGGAAUCUUCCGCAAUGGGCGAAAGCCUGACGGAGCAACGCCGCGUGAGUGAUGAAGGUCUUCGGAUCGUAAAACUCUGUUAUUAGGGAAGAACAAAUGUGUAAGUAACUGUGCACGUCUUGACGGUACCUAAUCAGAAAGCCACGGCUAACUACGUG
rnacentral:rRNA from 1 species